rnacentral:rRNA from 1 species
AGGCCUAACACAUGCAAGUCGAGCGGCAGCGCGGGGGCAACCCUGGCGGCGAGCGGCGGACGGGUGAGGAAUACAUCGGAAUCUGCCUUGUUGUGGGGGAUAACGUAGGGAAACUUACGCUAAUACCGCAUAAGACCGAAAGGUGAAAGUGGGGGACCGCAAGGCCUCACGCGACAAGAUGAGCCGAUGUCGGAUCAGCUAGUUGGUGAGGUAAUGGCUCACCAAGGCGACGAUCCGUAGCUGGUCUGAGAGGAUGAUCAGCCACACUGGGACUGAGACACGGCCCAGACUCCUACGGGAGGCAGCAGUGGGGAAUAUUGGACAAUGGGCGCAAGCCUGAUCCAGCCAUGCCGCGUGUGUGAAGAAGGCCUUCGGGUUGUAAAGCACUUUUGUUGGGAAAGAAAUCCUGUCGGCGAAUACCCGGCGGGGAUGACGGUACCCAAAGAAUAAGCACCGGCUAACUUCGUGCCAGCAGCCGCGGUAAUACGAAGGGUGCAAGCGUACUCGGAAUUACUGGGCGUAAAGCGUGCGUAGGCGGUUCGUUAAGUCUGUCGUGAAAGCCUGGGCUCAACUGGGA